CCUACGGGUGGCAGCAGUGAGGAAUAUUGGUCAAUGGCCGAGAGGCUGAACCAGCCAAGUCGCGUGAGGGAAGAAUGUCCUAUGGAUUGUAAACCUCUGUUGUCAGGGAGCAAAGUCACCCACUUGUGGGUGUUGGAGAGUACCUGAAGAAAAAGCAUCGACUAACUCCGUACCCGCAGCCGCGGUAAUACGUAGGAUGCGAGCGUUGUCGGGAUUUAUUGGGUUUAGAUGGUUCGAAGGGGGUUUCUAAAGGCAGCGGUAAAAUCGUGGAGCUCAACUCCAUCCAGCCGAUGAAACUGAUGAACUUGAGUGGGCGAGAGGUAUGCGGAAUGCGUGGUGUAGCAGUGAAAUGCAUAGAUAUCACGCAGAACUCCGAUUGCGAAGGCAGCAUACCGGCGCCCGACUGACGCUGAAGCACGAAAGCGUGGGUAUCGAACAGGAUUAGAUACCCCUGUAGUC
rnacentral:rRNA from 1 species